rnacentral:rRNA from 1 species
UACGAAGGGGGCUAGCGUUGUUCGGAAUUACUGGGCGUAAAGCGCGCGCAGGCGGUCUUCCAAGUCAGUGGUGAAAGCCCGGAAGCUCAACUCCGGAACUGCCAUUGGAAACUGUUGGACUUGAGGAUGAGAGAGGUGAGUGGAAUUCCCAGGUGUAGAGGUGAAAUUCGUAGAUAUUAGGGAAGAACACCGGUGGCGAAGGCGGC